rnacentral:pre_miRNA from 1 species
AAUGCAGUGAAACAUUUCUGCCCAAACUAAUCUGCUGAUGUCAGUGUGCAGAAGUGUUUCUUCCAUAUA